GACGAACGCUGGCGGCGUGCUUAACACAUGCAAGUCGAACGGAAAGGCCCUGCUUGCAGGGUACUCGAGUGGCGAACGGGUGAGUAACACGUGGGUGCUCUGCCCUUCACUUCGGGAUACGCCUGGGAAACUGGGUCUAUUACCCAAAAGGCGCCCUCGUGAGAGUGGUGGUUGGAAAGAUUUUUCGGUGUUGGAUGAGCCCGCGGCCUAUCAGCUUGUUGGUGGGGUAAUGGCCUACCAAGGCGGCGACGGGUAGCCGGCCUGAGAGGGUGUACGGCCACAUUGGGACUGAGAUACGGCCCAGACUCCUACGGGAGGCAGCAGUGGGGAAUAUUGCACAAUGGGCGCAAGCCUGAUGCAGCGACGCCGCGUGGGGGAUGAAGGCCUUCGGGUUGUAAACUCCUUUCGCUAGGGACGAAGCUUUUUGUGACGGUACCGAGAUAAGAAGCACCGGCUAACUACGU
rnacentral:rRNA from 1 species